GGGCGUUUAGCGCAGUGGUAGCGCGUAUGCUUUGCAUCUCACUGAAGCUCCGAAACUGUAUAAGGUCCAGGGUUCAAUCCCCUGAACGUCCA